rnacentral:rRNA from 1 species
AACUGCCUUUAAUACUGCUAGUCUAGAGUUCGAGAGAGGUGAGUGGAAUUCCAAGUGUAGAGGUGAAAUUCGUUAGAUAUUUGGAGGAACACCAGUGGCGAAGGCGGCUCACUGGCUCGAUACUGACGCUGAGGUACGAAAGUGUGGGGAGCAAACAGGAUUUAGAUACCCUGGUAGUCCACACCGUAAACGAUGAAUGCCAGUCGUCGGGUAGUAUACUAUUCGGUGACACACCUAACGGAGUAAGCAUUCCGCCUGGGGAGUACGGUCGCAAGAUUAAAACUCAAAGGAAUUGACGGGGGCCUGCACAAGCGGUGGAGCAUGUGGUUUAAUUCGAAGCAACGCGCAGAACCUUACCAGCUCUUGACAUGCCUUGCUACCAGCGGAGACGUUGGGUUCCCUUCGGGGACAAGGACACAGGUGCUGCAUGGCU